rnacentral:rRNA from 1 species
AUUGAACGCUGGCGGCAUGCCUAACACAUGCAAGUCGAACGAGUGGCGGACGGGUGAGUAAUGUCUGGGAAACUGCCCGAUGGCGGGGGAUAACUACUGGAAACGGUAGCUAAUACCGCAUACCAUCGGAUGUGCCCAGAUGGGAUUAGCUAGUUGGUGGGGUAACGGCUCACCUAGGCGACGAUCCCUAGCUGGUCUGAGAGGAUGACCAGCCACACUGGAACUGAGACACGGUCCAGACUCCUACGGGAGGCAGCAGUGGGGAAUAUUGCACAAUGGGCGAAAGACUGAUGCAGCCAUGCCGCGUGUAUGAAGAAGGCCUUCGGGUUGUAAAGUACUUUCAGCGGGGAAGCGUUAUCUGCAGAAGAAGCACCGGCUAACUCCGUGCCAGCAGCCGCGGUAAUAC